AUUGAACGCUGGCGGCAGGCCUAAUACAUGCAAGUCGGACGGUAACAUAAGAAAAGCUUGCUUUUCUUGAUGACGAGUGGCGGACGGGUGAGUAAGAUUUGGGAAGCUACCUGAUAGAGGGGGACAACAGUUGGAAACGACUGCUAAUACCGCAUACGGCCUCAGGGUGAAAGAAGCGAUUCGCUAUCAGAUGUGCCCAAACGGGAUUAGCUAGUAGGUGAGGUAAAGGCUCACCUAGGCGACGAUCAGUAGCCGGUCUGAGAGGAUGAACGGCCACAUUGGGACUGAGAUACGGCCCAGACUCCUACGGGAGGCAGCAGUGGGGAAUAUUGGGCAAUGGGGGAAACCCUGACCCAGCAACGCCGCGUGAAGGAAGAAGGCCUUCGGGUUGUAAACUUCUUUUAGCAGGGACGAAGGACGUGACGGUACCUGCAGAAAAAGCAACGGCUAACUACGUG
rnacentral:rRNA from 1 species